ensembl:lincRNA
UGGGGAACCUUGCAUCCUAGUUGCAUCAGUAGCUUCUGGGGAGAAAGUAGAGGCAAGGGAUGGGGAAGGAGUUGAGGAUGCAAAGCCAGGGCUGUCCCAGUCUUCUCAGAGGGACUUGCCCAGGAGGACUUCUGUCUUUAAGUCUCAGCAUUGGCACAGGAAUACUAAAGCUUAUCAAGUCCACCUGGACUCGCUCGACAAAUGAGGGGGCCGAGGCCAAGGCCGAGCUCAAAGUCACUCUCCCUUCUCUUGCAGAGCAUGACAUCAUUCCUGGCUGCAACUCUGAUUAUUCCAGGCAAGAGCUAAGUGCGGUGGCCAGCAGGUUGUCUGCGAAUCCUCUUUCCCAGUGCAUCUCAGCAGGGAGCCAUGAGGUGACCAGGGGUGAGCAUGAAGGUCUGCUCAGGUCCCUGGGCACAUGCCAGGCUGUGUGUCCCCACCCUGACAUCCAGAGAUGUGACCCUCCAGGGCAGCACCAUGGUCCAGGAGCCUCGCACGCUGCCACGACUGUCUUUCCAGAGCUGUCCCUGAGUGAGGAUCUGGCCAUAGCUGCACUAGACCAGCUGGGGAGCUGGGCUUCUCCGCCAGCCCUCUCCUUGUCCAGCCACUAGUGUGACUCAUCACAGCGCUUGAUUCCAAGCAGGAAGAAAGGCUGCCCAGGGCCCUGAUUACAAAAGAAGCUUCUCAGCUGAGCGCUUCCAACGACCGGAAAGAAGACCCUGGAUGACCCAGGGCAGAAGACGCACGGGUAGAACGUAAGUGUGCAGGUGCACACACGCGUGCAUUUCCCCGUAUGCCCUCCCACGCUCACGCACUCCCGAGCACGCCUGCAGCCACUCACACCUUCUCACACAACUGCGCCCUGCCUGCGCCAGACAGCAGUUGAUCCAACUCAGCUCACGUCUUUGGUCCUGAUGUUCUGAGGAGACAAAGACAGGAGGAUUUGGUCUGAGAGAUGGCCGAUGCCAGGCUGCAGUGUUUCCUUCCAAUUAUGACUCCACAGGAAGCUCUCGCUUUUCACUGCCCCACGAGGAGUGAAGGAACAGGGUGUGCACAGCAAAGAGGAAAUGAGAUUGAGGCCAGGUGUGGUGGUGCAUACCUGAUAUCUGUAACGCCAGCACUCUGGGAAGCUGAGGCAGGAGAAUCAAAAGUUUGAGGCCCAGCCUGGGCAGUUUAGCGAUUUAGCAAGACCCUGUCUCCAAAGAAAUAAAAAGGGCUAUAGCUCAGUGCAAAGGCUUUGGUAUCAAUGCCCAGUACUGAAAAAAGGAAGGAAGGAAGGAAGGAGAAAUGAGAUUGAGAGAGAAAGAAAGAAAGAAAAAGGGAAAGACACACCCCUGUGUGUCUGACUGCCCCAUGUGCAGGGCCCUGAAUGUACAGAUUCUCACCUCCUGUUCGCCCUCAGAGUAACCAUAGGAGGUCACAGUGCCAGGGAGAGGUGUGGACAGGGUGUGGGAGAGAAGCAGGAUUGUAGAUGCACCUUGCAGCUCUGAUAUCUCAUCGGGAAAGACUUCAACACUCUCACCCUCUGCUAUAUGUUGGCUGUGUAAUCUGCAGUGCGGUGGGGCUGGGCAGUGGAGCCUAGGAGAGGGUUGGGUCCCAAGGGCUCCACCUUAGCGAGCAGGUCACCGUCAUCACAGCUGGAGUGGAGCAGUCAGCCUGACUGCGGCUUGUUGUAAAAGUGUGAGUUCAGCACCCCCACAAGACAUCUCCCACCAGCUUCCCCUCCCCGUGUUCAGCCCCUGAAUCUUGGAC